AUGGACUCAGCCCCCAGAUAUCUAUCCAACUUUUUUUAUAUUUCUUACCAGAGCCAGAGACUCUAAUAUUCACAGUUUUUUAAAUAUGAGUCUAUCUGGAAAGAACAGAUGUGUAUAUACUGUAUACCAGCGCUGUUGAGUAGAACACCACAGAAACUCCAAGCCAUACCAACCAUAACCACUUUAAAAAGAAUGUAACAAGCUGACGACUGUGUGAACAGUAGAACUUGAUUUUAUCCAGCUCUGUAAUGUAUCUGUAAUGUGUCUCUGUAAUGUAUCUCUGUAAUGUAUCUCUGUAAUGUGUCUGUGUCUCUGGAAUGUGUCUGUAUCUCUGUAAUGUGUCUCUGUAAUAUGUCUGUAUCUCUGUAAUGUGUCUCUGUAAUGUGUCUCUGUAAUGUGUCUGUAUCUCUGUAAUGUGUCUGUGUCUCUGUAAUGUGUCUGUCUCUGUAAUGUCUCUGUCUCUGUAAUGUGUCUCUGUAAUGUGUCUGUAAUGUGUCUGUGUCUCUGUAAUGUGUCUGUAUCUCUGUAAUGUGUCUCUGUAAUGUGUCUGUAUCUCUGUAAUGUGUCUGUGUCUCUGUAAUGUGUCUGUAUCUCUGUAAUGUGUCUGUAUCUCUGUAAUGUGUCUCUGUAAUGUGUCUGUAUCUCUGUAAUGUGUCUCUGUAAUGUGUCUGUAUCUCUGUAAUGUGUCUCUGUAAUGUGUCUGUGUCUCUGUAAUGUGUCUGUGUCUCUGUAAUGUGUCUGUAUCUCUGUAAUGUAUCUCUGUAAUGUGUCUGUAUCUCUGUAAUGUAUCUGUAUCUCUGUAAUGUGUCUCUGUAAUGUGUCUGUAUCUCUGUAAUGUGUCUCUGUAAUGUGUCUGUAUCUCUGUAAUGUGUCUCUGUAAUGUGUCUGUAUCUAUAUAAUGUGUCUGUAUCUCUGUAAUGUGUCUGUAUCUCUGUAAUGUGUCUGUAUCUCUGUAAUGUGUCUGUAUCUCUGUAAUGUGUCUGUAUCUCUGUAAUGUGUCUGUCUCUGUAAUGUGUCUGUAUCUAUAUAAUGUGUCUGUAUCUCUGUAAUGUGUCUGUCUCUGUAAUGUGACUGUAUCUCUGUAAUGUGUCUGUAUCUCUGUAAUGUGUCUGUGUAAUGUGUCUGUAUCUCUGUAAUGUGUCUCUGUAAUGUGUCUGUAUCUCUGUAAUGUGUCUCUGUAAUGUGUCUGUAUCUCUGUAAUGUGUCUGUGUCUCUGUAAUGUGUCUGUAUCUCUGUAAUGUGUCUCUGUAAUGUGUCUCUGUAAUGUGUCUGUAUCUCUGUAAUGUGUCUCUGUAAUGUGUCUGUAUCUCUGUAAUGUGUCUGUAUCUCUGUAAUGUCUCUGUAAUGUGUCUGUAUCUCUGUAAUGUGUCUGUAUCUCUGUAAUGUGUCUGUAUCUCUGUAAUGUCUCUGUAAUGUGUCUGUAUCUAUGUAAUGUGUCUGUAUCUCUGUAAUGUGUCUGUAUCUCUGUAAUGUGUCUGUAUCUCUGUAAUGUGUCUGUAUCUCUGUAAUGUGUCUGUAUCUAUAUAAUGUGUCUGUAUCUCUGUAAUGUGUCUGUAUCUCUGUAAUGUGUCUGUAUCUCUGUAAUGUGUCUGUAUCUCUGUAAUGUGUCUGUAAUGUGUCUGUAUCUCUGUAAUGUGUCUGUAUCUCUGUAAUGUGUCUGUAUCUCUGUAAUGUGUCUCUGUAAUGUCUCUGUAUCUAUAUAAUGUGUCUGUAUCUCUGUAAUGUGUCUGUAUCUCUGUAAUGUCUCUGUAAUGUGUCUGUAUCUCUGUAAUGUGUCUGUCUCUGUAAUGUGUCUGUAAUGUGUCUGUAUCUAUAUAAUGUGUCUGUAAUGUGUCUGUAUCUAUAUAAUGUGUCUGUAUCUCUGUAAUGUGUCUGUAUCUCUUCUGUAUCUCUGUAAUGUGUCUGUAAUGUGUCUGUAUCUCUGUAAUGUGUCUGUAUCUGUA
rnacentral:lncRNA from 1 species